UGCGUCGUUGAAUCUCCUUUG
ensembl:piRNA 21ur-859 ncRNA